CUUCACCGAGCCGAGCAGCAGCGGCCUGUCCGACUCCCGAUGACGUCCGUAGGUCGCGAUCAGGGCCUGCGCCUC
rfam:Actinoalloteichus hymeniacidonis strain HPA177(T) (=DSM 45092(T)), complete genome.